rnacentral:rRNA from 2 species
CUGGCGGCGUGCCUAAUACAUGCAAGUCGAACGAACUCUGGUAUUGAUUGGUGCUUGCAUCAUGAUUUACAUUUGAGUGAGUGGCGAACUGGUGAGUAACACGUGGGAAACCUGCCCAGAAGCGGGGGAUAACACCUGGAAACAGAUGCUAAUACCGCAUAACAACUUGGACCGCAUGGUCCGAGUUUGAAAGAUGGCUUCGGCUAUCACUUUUGGAUGGUCCCGCGGCGUAUUAGCUAGAUGGUGAGGUAACGGCUCACCAUGGCAAUGAUACGUAGCCGACCUGAGAGGGUAAUCGGCCACAUUGGGACUGAGACACGGCCCAAACUCCUACGGGAGGCAGCAGUAGGGAAUCUUCCACAAUGGACGAAAGUCUGAUGGAGCAACGCCGCGUGAGUGAAGAAGGGUUUCGGCUCGUAAAACUCUGUUGUUAAAGAAGAACAUAUCUGAGAGUAACUGUUCAGGUAUUGACGGUAUUUAACCAGAAAGCCACGGCUAACUACGUGCCAGCAGCCGCGGUAAUACGUAGGUGGCAAGCGUUGUCCGGAUUUAUUGGGCGUAAAGCGAGCGCAGGCGGUUUUUUAAGUCUGAUGUGAAAGCCUUCGGCUCAACCGAAGAAGUGCAUCGGAAACUGGGAAACUUGAGUGCAGAAGAGGACAGUGGAACUCCAUGUGUAGCGGUGAAAUGCGUAGAUAUAUGGAAGAACACCAGUGGCGAAGGCGGCUGUCUGGUCUGUAACUGACGCUGAGGCUCGAAAGUAUGGGUAGCAAACAGGAUUAGAUACCCUGGUAGUCCAUACCGUAAACGAUGAAUGCUAAGUGUUGGAGGGUUUCCGCCCUUCAGUGCUGCAGCUAACGCAUUAAGCAUUCCGCCUGGGGAGUACGGCCGCAAGGCUGAAACUCAAAGGAAUUGACGGGGGCCCGCACAAGCGGUGGAGCAUGUGGUUUAAUUCGAAGCUACGCGAAGAACCUUACCAGGUCUUGACAUACUAUGCAAAUCUAAGAGAUUAGACGUUCCCUUCGGGGACAUGGAUACAGGUGGUGCAUGGUUGUCGUCAGCUCGUGUCGUGAGAUGUUGGGUUAAGUCCCGCAACGAGCGCAACCCUUAUUAUCAGUUGCCAGCAUUAAGUUGGGCACUCUGGUGAGACUGCCGGUGACAAACCGGAGGAAGGUGGGGAUGACGUCAAAUCAUCAUGCCCCUUAUGACCUGGGCUACACACGUGCUACAAUGGAUGGUACAACGAGUUGCGAACUCGCGAGAGUAAGCUAAUCUCUUAAAGCCAUUCUCAGUUCGGAUUGUAGGCUGCAACUCGCCUACAUGAAGUCGGAAUCGCUAGUAAUCGCGGAUCAGCAUGCCGCGGUGAAUACGUUCCCGGGCCUUGUACACACCGCCCGUCACACCAUGAGAGUUUGUAACACCCAAAGUCGGUGGGGUAACCUUUUAGGAACCAGCCGCCUAAGG